rnacentral:rRNA from 1 species
UACGAAGGUGGCAAGCGUUGUUCGGAAUCACUGGGCUUAAAGGGCGCGUAGGCGGAAAUGCAAGUGUUUUGUGAAAUCCCACGGCUUAACCGUGGAAUUGCUUGGCAAACUGCAUUUCUUGAGGCAAGUAGGUGUGUGUGGAACUCUUGGUGGAGCGGUGGAAUGCGUAGAUAUCAAGAGGAACGCCGAAGGUGAAGACAGCACACUGGACUUGUCCUGACGCUGAGGCGCGAAAGCGUGGGGAGCAAACAGG